GGCGCCCAGGAACCGUCGCGCCCUGCCCGGCUCCCCGACCGCCCCUCCCUCCUGCGCCGAGGCCUGCCAGGCAUUGAGCACUGAGUGACUCACGUUUUGCUGCGUGGCUGCUCUCAGCUAGGAUCUGGCAGCCUUGGCCCAAGCAAUCCCAGUGGGCGCAUCUUGGGAGCUGACUUUGGGGCCACCUUUCCCCAUGCUGCCUGGGGACCAGAGAACACUGACCGCGGGAAAGACCGAUGCUGCCGAGGCCAGGAGGAGGGGGAGGCCGUCAUCUGUGGGUCCCCAGCAGCGCUUGGGGUCCUGGCCACUCCAGCGGCCCCUUGCACCUGCCUCCAGGGAUCCUUUGUCUUCAAAAUAACCUCCCUCCACCUUCCGGCUCAUAGUGCCUUGGGUGGAUCUGUUCCCAUUUCCCACAAGCCUGCAGGGUGGUGACAGGCCCUCAUUCCCAUGUGCCCCAAGAUUUCGGAUUCCAAAAAUACAUCCCCUGGCUCCCCGGAGAAGUGUGUCACGGUGUCUCCGUUUCACCACUGACAGGGCCAAAGGAUGUGCUCUCCUCUCCCGAGCUGCCAUGGUCAAGGGCUCACCUAGAUAACCCAGGACAGUCCCCUCAUCUCACAAUGACGCCCCCAGUCGGGCUGCCGAGACCGUGCCUGCUGAGCCUAACAUUCCAAGGUUCCAGGAGCUGGGGUGUGGACGGACCUGGGGCCUGCCAUGCCCUCCAAGUGCUGCCCUGCCCCUUGAAGGCCAGGCCAGUCCUGGAAGCUGGGAAGGCCAAGAUCAAGGCGCAGGCAGAUCGGGGGUCUGGUGAGGGGCUUCCUGGUUUCCUGACAGCUGACUUCUCACACGGUGGAAAGAGGGCUACGGAGCUCUCUGGCCUCCUCUUGUAAGGACACUAAUCCCAUUCCCAGGGGCUCCACCCUCAUGACCUGCUCACCUCCCAAGGGCCCCACCUCCUAACGCCAUCACACUGGGAGUAGGGUUUCAACAUGUACAUUUCAGGAGGACACAAACCUUCAGUCCAUCGGGCAUAUGGGGGACGGGUGGGAGCACGUGUUAGCUGGUGCAUGGGUGGGUGGGUGAGUCAAGGGGGGCUCAUAGGCCCCUGUUCACACCACUUGGUCGGAAGGGGGCUUUUACCUGGGUGUGGUCACCCCCAGCACCACUGGGGCCUUAUGACUUUUAUCACCAAAGCUCUACAAGGUGGCAGUCAUGAAUGAGAAACUGAGGCUCCGAGGGGAGGUGCUGGGCUCAGGCUCACCAGCUGCAGGGUGCCACAUCUCAUACCCCAUCCUCCGCUCCCAGCCCUGAGGAGCCCUCAGAGCCCAGCCUGUCCCAGGCUCUCUGCCCAGUGGCAGAGGAGACCCAGGCCUCAUUUGGUGGUUGCCAAAGGCACAAAGGCAGUCCCCGCUCAGUGAUGCUAUGGUCCCCUCCCUGAAUCCACAUGCAGAGAUCAGGGCUGGAGAUGGCCCCAGUGACCUGGGGACUGGCCAGCACCUUGGACACUGUGGCUGAUUAUCUGGGCUAAGCACACAGCUUCAAGAGUCUACCUGGAAGCUAGGCACAGUGAGCCCCGUAGUCCCAGCUACUCAGGAGGCCGAGGCGAGAGGAUCAUGUGAGCACGGGAG
rnacentral:lncRNA from 10 species